UCUGCCUGAAUAUCUUCUUCACCCUUCCU
rnacentral:piRNA from 1 species